rnacentral:rRNA from 1 species
GAUCAACGCUGGCGGAAUGCUUUACACAUGCAAGUCGAACGGUAGAGGGGGCAACCCCUCGAGAGUGGCGAACGGGUGAGUAAUAUAUCGGAACGUGCCCAGUCGUGGGGGAUAACGUAGCGAAAGUUACGCUAAUACCGCAUACGAUCUAAGGAUGAAAGCGGGGGAUCGCAAGACCUCGCGCGAUUGGAGCGGCCGAUAUCAGAUUAGGUAGUUGGUGGGGUAAAGGCUCACCAAGCCAACGAUCUGUAGCUGGUCUGAGAGGACGACCAGCCACACUGGAACUGAGACACGGUCCAGACUCCUACGGGAGGCAGCAGUGGGGAAUGUUGGACAAUGGACGCAAGUCUGAUCCAGCCAUUCCGCGUGCAGGAUGAAGGCCCUCGGGUUGUAAACUGCUUUUGUACGGAACGAAAAGGUCUCUCUUAAUACGGGGGACUCAUGACGGUACCGUAAGAAUAAGCACCGGCUAACUACGUGCCAGCCGCCGCCGUAA